GAUGAACGCUGGCGGCGUGCCUAAUACAUGCAAGUCGAGCGAACAGACGAGGAGCUUGCUCCUCUGACGUUAGCGGCGGACGGGUGAGUAACACGUGGAUAACCUACCUAUAAGACUGGGAUAACUUCGGGAAACCGGAGCUAAUACCGGAUAAUAUAUUGAACCGCAUGGUUCAAUAGUGAAAGACGGUUUUGCUGUCACUUAUAGAUGGAUCCGCGCCGCGUUAGCUAGUUGGUAAGGUAACGGCUUACCAAGGCAACGAUGCGUAGCCGACCUGAGAGGGUGAUCGGCCACACUGGAACUGAGACACGGUCCAGACUCCUACGGGAGGCAGCAGUAGGGAAUCUUCCGCAAUGGGCGAAAGCUUGACGGAGCAACGCCGCGUGAGUGAUGAAGGUCUUCGGAUCGUAAAACUCUGUUAUUAGGGAAGAACAAAUGUGUAAGUAACUAUGCACGUCUUGACGGUACCUAAUCAGAAAGCCACGGCUAACUACGUG
rnacentral:rRNA from 1 species